ACAUUUAAAGUGUGGCUGCAAAUCUGGGAUGCAGGAGGUGAAAAUUCAUUGUCUAAUCUGUUUCUCAGUUUCCUCUUUCAGAAACGAGAGAUUUUUCAAGACCUUGCUCCACUGCUGUGGCACUCCUUUGGCACUGUUGCUGCACUGCUCCAGGAGAUUGUGUCAAUUUACCCUUCACUUUCACCUCCUACUUUGUCGCUAGUUGCAUCAAACCGUGUCUGCAAUGCACUUGCACUUCUUCAGUGUGUUGCUUCACACCCUGAGACCAGGAUCCCGUUCUUGAAUGCUCACAUCCCACUGUACCUGUACCCGUUCCUGAAUACUACCAGCAAGACAAGACCUUUUGAGUACUUGAGGCUUACCAGCUUGGGUGUUAUUGGUGCUCUUGUGAAGGAAUCUCAACAGGAACUGUUAUUUUUGAAGCAAACAGGCUAA
rnacentral:rRNA from 1 species